AUACGGAGGAUCCGAGCGUUAUCCGGAUUUAUUGGGUUUAAAGGGAGCGUAGGCGGACGCUUAAGUCAGUUGUGAAAGUUUGCGGCUCAACCGUAAAAUUGCAGUUGAUACUGGGUGUCUUGAGUACAGUAGAGGCAGGCGGAAUUCGUGGUGUAGCGGUGAAAUGCUUAGAUAUCACGAAGAACUCCGAUUGCGAAGGCAGCCUGCUGGACUGUAACUGACGCUGAUGCUCGAAAGUGUGGGUAUCAAACAGGAGUAGAUACCCUGGUAGUCCACACAGUAAACGAUGAAUACUCGCUGUUUGCGAUAUACAGUAAGCGGCCAAGCGAAAGCGUUAAGUAUUCCACCUGGGGAGUACGCCGGCAACGGUGAAACUCAAAUGAAUUGACGGGG
rnacentral:rRNA from 1 species